UACAGAGGCCUCGAGCGUUAGGCGGAAUCACUGGGCUUAAAGCGUGUGUAGGCGGACCCUUAAGUGCCUUGUGAAAUCCCACGGCUCACCCGUGGAACGGCUGGGCAUACUGGGGGUCUUGAGCCACCUAGGGGCUGCCGGAACAAAUGGUGGAGCGGUGAAAUGCGUAGAGAUCCGGAAGAACACCGGUGGCGAAGGCGGUCUGCUGGGCAGUUGCUGACACUGAGGCGCGACAGCGUGGGGAGCAAACAGG
rnacentral:rRNA from 1 species